AUGGCGUUGUCAUUUUGUUCAUGUUUGUACUAUGUAUAUAUGUCAACGCAUUUAAUAUGCCAAAAUGGUGGUACAGACUUAACAGAAAGUUUGAUGCUGCCAUCUUGUUAUUACAGUUUGAUGCUGCCAUCUUGUUAUUACAGUCUGAAUGUAUUGUUGCUGGUGCUGUUGCCCGUAAUCACCGUGAUAUAUAUGUUCCUGAACGCUUACCAUCACUUCUAUGAGAAGGUCUGCGAUCCUGAACCCGCUGAAGCAAUGGCCAUUCGAUAUGCUUUAUCCUAUUCUCUUGUUGAUGGUAUUCAGAGGAUUAUCUCAGCUUCAGACUGUUCUUCUCUGGUGGCCAGGCUGAGUGCCUCCGAAGCUGAUCGGUCGGCUACUGGUGCUGUUAUCCAUGACCUCAAGUUUGUUUCAGUUUCCUUUAUUUCUGUUAUUAGUCGAAUCUGUAAUAGGGCGGCUGGUGCUAUCGCACGAUCUGGGGAUGAUGCCGUAGAAGGUGCCUUAGAAUUCUUGGUCCAAUUUUCAGUCAGGUAG
rnacentral:rRNA from 1 species